GGGAGCGACUUGGCUUCGACAGGAGUAAGUCUGCUUAGAUGGCAUGUCGCUUUGGGCAAAGCGUAAAAAGCCCAAAUAAAAUUAAACGCAAAUAACGUUAAAUUCGCUCCUGCUUACGCUAAAGCUGCGUAAGUUCAGUUGAGCCUGAAAUUUAAGUCAUACUAUCUAGCUUAAUUUUCGGUCAUUUUUGAUAGUGUAGCCUUGCGUUUGACAAGCGUUGAGGUGAAAUAAAGUCUUAGCCUUGCUUUUGAGUUUUGGAAGAUGAGCGAAGUAGGGUGAAGUAGUCAUCUUUGCUAAACAUGUAGAGGUCUUUGUGGGAUUAUUUUUGGACAGGGGUUCGAUUCCCCUCGCUUCCACCA
rnacentral:tmRNA from 1 species